GCCAGACUCCUACGGGAGGCAGCAGUGGGGAAUAUUGCACAAUGGGGGAAACCCUGAUGCAGCAACGCCGCGUGAGUGAAGAAGUAUUUCGGUAUGUAAAGCUCUAUCAGCAGGGAAGAAGAUGACGGUACCUGAAUAAGAAGCCCCGGCUAACUACGUGCCAGCAGCCGCGGUAAUACGUAGGGGGCAAGCGUUAUCCGGAUUUACUGGGUGUAAAGGGAGCGCAGACGGCAGUGCAAGCCAGGAGUGAAAGCCCGGGGCCCAACCCCGGGACUGCUCUUGGAACUGCGUGGCUGGAGUGCAGGAGGGGCAGGCGGAAUUCCUGGUGUAGCGGUGAAAUGCGUAGAUAUCAGGAGGAACACCGGCGGCGAAGGCGGCCUGCUGGACCGUAACUGACGUUGAGGCUCGAGAGCGUGGGGAGCAAACAGGAUUAGAUACCCCCGUAUCA
rnacentral:rRNA from 1 species